GACGAACCGUGCGAACGUUGUUCGGAUUCACUGGGCUUAAAGGGCGCGUAGGCGGCCGCUCAAGUCGGGGGUGAAAUCUUUCAGCUUAACUGGAUAAUAGCCUCCGAUACUGGGCGGCUCGAGGGAGAUAGGGGUGCGCGGAACUUCCGGUGGAGCGGUGAAAUGCGUAGAUAUCGGAAGGAACGCCGGUGGCGAAAGCGGCGCACUGGAUCUCCACUGACGCUGAGGCGCGAAAGCCAGGGGAGCAAACGGG
rnacentral:rRNA from 1 species